rnacentral:snoRNA from 1 species
ACAACCACACCAAUAUGAUGAGAACUUUUCUUUGAACCGGUAUAUUAGGAAGAGCCGGAAGAGGUAUGGCAGGAACCAAAGUUGUUCUCUGUCGUCGAUGCUUAUAAUGGUUCUGCUGAAUGGUGUUUUUGG